CCCUUAGAUGUCCUGGGCCGCACGCGCGCUACACUGACAUGUUCAACAAGCCUCCUAGUUCGACAGGAUUUGGGAAAUCUUUGAACGCAUGUCGUGAUAGGGAUAGAUCAUUGCAAUUAUUGAUCUUGAACGAGGAAUUCCUAGUAAACGCGAGUCAUCAGCUCGCAUUGAUUACGUCCCUGCCCUUUGUACACACCGCCCGUCGCACCUACCGAUUGAAUGUUUCGGUGAAGAUUCCGGAUAGGACUUUUUUGAUUUAUUUCAAUUCUGUCUUAAAGGCUAUCUAAACCUCAACAUUUAGAGGAAGGUGAAGUCGUAACA
rnacentral:rRNA from 1 species